rnacentral:rRNA from 1 species
AGUGAUUCCUACGGGAGGCAGCAGUGGGGAAUAUUGGACAAUGGGCGAAAGCCUGAUCCAGCAAUGCCGCGUGAGUGAUGAAGGCCUUAGGGUUGUAAAGCUCUUUUACCCGGGAUGAUAAUGACAGUACCGGGAGAAUAAGCCCCGGCUAACUCCGUG